GACGAACGCUGGCGGUGUGCUUAACACGUGCAAGUAGAGCGGAAAGGCCCCUUGGGGUACUCGAGCGGCGAACGGGUGAGUAACACGUGAGUAACCUGCCCUUAUCUUUGGGAUCACCCUCGGAAACGGGGGCUAAUACCGGAUAUGACAUUGCCGGGCACCUUGUGGGGUGGAAAGUGUUUCGGAUAGGGAGGGGCUCGCGGCCUAUCAGCUUGUUGGUGGGGUGAUGGCCUACCAAGGCGACAACGGGUAGCCGGCCUGAGAGGGCGAACGGCCACAAUGGGACUGAGACACGGCCCAGACUCCUACGGGAGGCAGCAGUGGGGAAUAUUGCGCAAUGGGCGGAAGCCUGACGCAGCGACGCCGCGUGAGGGAUGACGGCCUUCGGGUUGUAAACCUCUUUCACCCAUGACGAAGCGUAAGUGACGGUAGUGGGAGAAGAAGCACCGGCCAACUACGUGCCAGCCGCCGCCGUAAUAC
rnacentral:rRNA from 1 species